AUGUUAAAACUCCUCUCCAGUCCAUAGCUCUGUAUUAGGCUACAAUGAGUUAUGCAACUGCAUAGAACUCACAGACGGCCCUAUUACUUAGACAAUGCUCUACUUUGGACCAGAGCCCCUUGACACUGUUUUACACUAUUUGCUAAAGAUGUAGACUACAGAAGGCCUGUUUUUUUUUAUUCUCCACAACGGUGUGUGUGUGUAUGAGCGAGUGAAACAGAGACAGAGAAAGGCGAUCAUUUGGUAGUAGUCCUACGUACUGAUUGGCUCUUGCGGUACAUGUGACAACUAUCCUCAUCUGCAUAUGGACAGGUACGCUAUGGUGAGCGGGGUAGAGAAGUUACCGGGCUGGCACCGUGUGAAUGGAGUUUUAAAGAUCGUCGAGAAAUCUCCUAAGUAGCCCUAGGACAUCGUUAGUCUACAGCAAGAGGGCUACUGUUUCAUACCGCCCAUUGACUUCGGAAAAUAGCUCAUUGUAAUCAACAGAGACAGGCACCCCUCACUGUCAGUCUGGCUGCUGUGUCCCCAUUGGUCCAGAUGUGAGAGCAGAGACCAGCACCUCUAACCCUCAGGGCCCGUCGUCAU